AACCAAAGGGAGCACGUCUUCUGUAGAUUCUUUUUUCUUUUCACAAGCGUAGAAGGAAAGACCAAUGGGGUAGACGUAUCCUGUUUCAUCCUAUGGCUACAAAACAAUUACAUAUUAGUUGGACAGUUGAUUUUUUUUUUACUUUCUAGGUUUAACGUGGAGUCGGUAUCAUUUUCUUCUUGCAGGCGGCAAUGGCAAGAGCAUAUUGUGCAGAGGAAGAUGAUGAGAAGAAACUUGUGGUUCUCAU
rnacentral:lncRNA from 1 species